GAGAGAUUACUUCAUGGAAAAUGCGCGCGUACGAUUUUUGUUCACGAGUUGAGUUGUAUCAGAAAACGAACGAGCGAGGGCAGCGAACGAGUGAGUUUUCUGAUACGAACAACGAUGAAUAAAAAUCGUACAAAGCAUUUUCGAUGCUGUAAUGUGUUUAUUUCAU